rnacentral:rRNA from 1 species
UACGUAGGGGGCAAGCGUUGUCCGGAUUUAUUGGGCGUAAAGAGCGUGUAGGCGGCCUGAUAGGUCGGUUGUGAAAACUGGAGGCUUAACCUUCAGACGUCAGCCGAAACCAUCUGGCUAGAGUCCGGAAGAGGAGAGUGGAAUUCCUGGUGUAGCGGUGAAAUGCGCAGAUAUCAGGAAGAACACCCGUGGCUAAGGCGGCUCUCUAGUACGGUACUGACGCUGAGACGCGAAAGCGUGGGGAGCGAACAGG